rnacentral:rRNA from 1 species
UACGGAGGGUGCAAGCGUUAUCCGGAUUUACUGGGUUUAAAGGGUGUGUAGGCGGGCUUUUAAGUCAGUGGUGAAAUCUCCGGGCUCAACCCGGAAACUGCCAUUGAUACUAUUAGUCUUGAAUUUUGUUGAGGUAGGCGGAAUAAGUCAUGUAGCGGUGAAAUGCUUAGAUAUGACUUAGAACACCAAUUGCGAAGGCAGCUUGCUAAACAAACAUCGACGCUGAGCACGAAAGCGUGGGGAGUCAAACAGG